GAUGAAGAACGCAGCGAAAUGCGAUACGUAAUGUGAAUUGCAAAUUCAGUGAAUCAUCGAGUCUUUGAACGCAUAUUGCGCCCCCUGGUAUUCCGGGGGGCAUGCCUGUCCGAGCGUCAUUGCUGCCCUCAAGCACGGCUUGUGUGUUGGGCCCCGUCCUCCGAUCCCGGGGGACGGGCCCGAAAGGCAGCGGCGGCACCGCGUCCGGUCCUCGAGCGUAUGGGGCUUUGUCACCCGCUCUGUAGGCCCGGCCGGCGCUUGCCGAUCAACCCAAAUUUUUUAUCCAGGUUGACCUCGGAUCAGGUAGGGAUACCCGCUGAACUUAAGCAUAUCAAUAAGCGGAGGA
rnacentral:misc_RNA from 1 species